rnacentral:lncRNA from 1 species
CUCUCUGUCCUUCGGUGGAGACUCCGGGAAAAACCUGCCUCCCAGUCUGCCCUCUCUCCGUCUGUCUGUGCUUGUUUUUCUACGUUUAUCCCUGUCGCUUUCCCCACUUAUUCUGCAGGCAUGGCGCGCCCCCAGUGCCGGCUUGGUGCCAGGGCUGGGAGAUCCGGGGGUGAAUCGUGAGCCCGGCCCACAGCGAGCUUGCAGUCUAGAGAUCAAGGCAGUCUUGUCCACAACCUGCUGUCACAUAAAGCAAAUGUAGCUGGUGUAGCACCAGGGGCUGCAAUCAAGUGCGGUGGGGCGGCAAUAGUGACCACGGAAAUAAUCAGAAUUGCUUUUAAUUCAGCUCCUACUAUAUUCCCGCAUCCCUGAGCCUCACAAUCAUCCUCCAAGGCUGCAGCAGCCCCCAUCGAGGCCACUCAUUUACAGCACAGGCCCACACAGUCUGACAAAGGACAGCUGCAAUCCUCUGUCAACUGCAGUCCUUUCCCAGGCACAUGCUGGAUUGGGAAACAGGUGGGAGAAAAGAACAGACAUUUAUCAAGCACCUACUCUGUGCCUAGCAUUGUGCUAGGUGCUAGAGAGCCAAAAAUAAAUAGCAGCUGCUCUUGUGGAGGUCACAGUCUUGGAGGAGUUAAAGACACGGAAACAAAUUACAACACAGCGUAACAGCAGUGACAGAAGCACGUAUGAUAUGGUUUGACUGUGGCCCCACCAAAUCUCAUCCUGAAUUGUAGUUCCCAUAAUCCCCACUUGUGGUGGGAGGGGCCCAGUCGGAGGUAAUUGAAUCAUAAGGGUAGUUUCCCCCAUGUUAUUCUCGUGAUAGUGAGUUCUCAUGAGAUCUGAUGGUUUUAUAAGGGGCUUCCCCCUUCACUCAGCUCUCAUUCUUCUCUCUCCUGCCACCAUGUAAAGAAGGAUGUGUUUGGUUUCCCUUCCAUCACGAUUGUAAGUUUCCUGAGGCCUCCUCAGCCAUGUGGAACUGUGAGUCAAUUAAAUCUCUUUCCUUUAUAAAUUACCCAGUCUUGGGUAUUUCUUCAUAGCAGCCUGAGAAGGGACUAAUACAACAUACGAAGUUGGCAGCAAAGUGAGUGGUGGAAAGGAGAGUCAUGGAAAAGCAAACAAGGGAGGGUUAUAACUACAGCUUGGCAUCCUCCACUAAUGUUGUAAGGUCCUGGAGCAUUUUGGCAAUGGUGCUAAAAUGAGGAUGUAAGGACAAAAUCCCCUAGAUUUUCGACAGGUGAGCUUGUGAGGUGUUG